rnacentral:rRNA from 1 species
AACGCUGGCGGCGUGCCUAACACAUGCAAGUCGAACGAGAAAGUGGAGCAAUCCAUGAGUACAGUGGCGACCGGGUGAGUAACACGUGAUCAACCUACCCUCGAGUGGGGAAUAACUCCGGGAAACCGGAGCUAAUACCGCAUAACAUCAUCGGUCCACAUGAACUGAUGUUCAAAGGAGCAAUCCGCUUGAGGAGGGGGUCGCGGCUGAUUAGCUAGUUGGUAGGGUAAUGGCCUACCAAGGCUGAGAUCGGUAUCCGGCCUGAGAGGGCGCACGGACACACUGGAACUGAAACACGGUCCAGACUCCUACGGGAGGCAGCAGUGGGGAAUUUUGCGCAAUGGGGGAAACCCUGACGCAGCAACGCCGCGUGGAGGAUGAAGUCCCUUGGGACGUAAACUCCUUUCGACCCGGAAGAUACUGACGGUACGGGUGGAAGAA